AGAAAAUGUUCUUUUCAUAAAAACAGUCCAAUUCUUCUGUAAAUAUCUGCUGUCAUAUUUAUCCUUUUGGAAUUAAAUUUUUUUUUUUUUUUUACUUAUUAUUAUUAAACUUGCUACCAGAGGAAGCAAUAGUUGCAAGAACUGUUUAAAUAGGUACCAUUUGUAAAUAUAAACAGUUUCAGAUUUUUAUUUUUUUUUGCCUGAAAGCUUAAGUGGUUUCAUAAUUUCUGGUAUUGUUUUGCGAGUGUCGUUAUACAGAAAUAGACUAAUGCAUGCUGAACCUACAUGUAAGCAGUGGAGAAGGGGGAGGAGUGGAGUUGUUUUUAAAAAGACCUGGAGAUCCAAAUGGGAGGCUGUGAACACAAAUGAAUUACACGUAUGUGAGCUGCAAAAGGGAGUCUUUCUCCACAUUUGGAAAGGAUAAGAAAUAUCAGGCUGUGUUGUGAUCUCACCAUUCAGAGCUGUAAAUCCAGGAAGAAAAAACCAUCAGCAGACCAUAGUUUGAAUCAGGAUAUGAGCCUUCAGUGAAUAUGACAAGGGAACAUAAAGAUAAAUCACUUAAGGAUAAAUCACUCACAAAGGAAAAAAAAAAGUGAAGAAAGAAUCAGAAACAAAGGGCAAAUGAGAGAAAACUCGUUUGCUAAGUGAUGGACUGGGCUCUACCCUCGUGCAUACCAUCCUGCUCCUUACCACUUCAUUCAGAGCAAGCCUCUGCGCUGCAUCCCUCCCCUGCUACUGCAGCCACAGCCCUCUCUCCCUCUUGACUUGAAGCAAAGGAGAGACAGUUGAAAUAACCUGUGUCUCCAAAGACGGGUGGACACAGCAGCAGCAGGCCCAGCCUGCUGUUCACCCGGGCACCCAGAGAGAUCUGGUUUUCCAGAGAAAGGUUUUUUUGAAUGGCUCACACAUCCCAGAGCGAUAGCAUCUAAAUUAUCCCUUCAAACUACAUGGAAGAAAUAAGCAGAAACAAGAAGACCCUGCUGAGGUCCCAACAAAUUUGUGAAGCUUUCCUCCAAUACUGUUUUGGGGUAUCUCUGCUCUCAGCAAAUGUCCCAGCAACCCGGUGUGAACAUGCAGGUAAGUAACACCCUGCUUUUCACUUUUUUUCUCAGGCAAAUUGUCAAGAGGCACCCAUCAUAGCCACUGUUUUGGAAAAGUGUCUGUGAUGGUGUAACCAUGUCACAAGACUGGUCUCCAGGGAAUUUCCAGCUUGUCUGAAAGAUAUUUCUUUGUGUGGGCUUCGCUGUCUUGCCUGGCAUCAUCUUCCCCCUCCAUCAAGUCCUUAAAUGACGAUUGCUGUUUGAAGAAUGACUUCAGCCUCAUGGGAUCAGAUGCUGUGGGUAGUCACACAAUACGAUGCAAAGUCUCUGAGGUAAAUGAUAGCACAGCGAGCAGGGAAAUGGGAAAUCAGACCCAUGUGGCUUUCAUGAUUUUUUUUGGUUUUGCUGCCUUGUAAAAAAAAAAAAAAAAAAAAAGGCGCUCCCAGAAUUCACAAAGGGAACUGAAAUGGUAUCGUACUGCUCUUCAUUCAUGAGCCCAGAUUUCACAUAACAUUGAUUUACUCCACACUUUUUUUUUUUUUUUUUUUUUUUGGUGGCACACAGAAUAGUAACUACCAAUAAAACUCCUGAGUUCACUGUUU